GUUGUGGAAGCGAACUGGGAGAGGUGAGAUGCAGGAAGGUAGCAAUGGUUUGUAGAGUUUUAACAGCGUCGCCAUUCAGAGAGAUGAAGACGACGGCCGCUACGACGAUGGCAGAGGAGGAGGAGCAGGAGAGCCGGUGACCGCCGAUUUGCGGAAAAUCUUUGCUCAGAGCGAGUGGUGUUGCUCUAUCCGCAAUUUUAUUCUGU
rnacentral:lncRNA from 1 species